UUAAACUUCCCAUCCUCCUUGCCUAGCGCCAUAUUCUUCUUCAAGUCGAAUAUAAAUGGCAUGUAAUUGUAAUUUCGUUGUUCUCUUUCUUGCCCUUUCUCAAUCUUAAAUUUUGCCCUAAUGUUGUUAUCAGAUGAAGAUUAUACAACGAGUAGCAGAAGACCACACAAACAAUUCAUCCUCCUUUUUUCCCUUUCUCAAUCUUCGAGUUUCCCCUAAUAUUGUUAUCAGGUGAAGAUUAUACAACGACUCAACCAAUAGCAGAAGAGAACACAAACAGUGAUUUGUAAAUCAUUUCAUGUAACUAAAUUAUCUUAUUUUAAGCUUCAGAAUUCUCUUUUUAUGGGCAUUGAUAGUCUUGCUCGUGUUUGUUUCGACAUUCAGAUGAAAUUAGAGUUGUGCAAAGGUUUCCGUUUGGUUGCUGUGUGAAGACCUAAGAAUUCAGAGCUAUUGUUGAUGUCCAUUUCUGGUUUAAUUGCUUCUGGUUAUAUUUUCUCCUUCUAAUCUUGAUUGCUUCUUUAGUGAAUCAAUUUUACUUAGCUGCUAUUAUAGAUUUUGUUGUUCUUCUUCUAUCCCCCUUCUUUUUUCAAACAUAAUCAACACAUAUGCAACAAGAAUCUCGAAUCGAUGAAAUCCCUAUAUUCAUUUUAGACUAAUGCAUUUGUUAUGAAUGUUGCAGGAAUCCGGAUAUGUUACAAAAAGAAAGCUAUUACAAUUUUAUCAUCAGGUGUUCCAGUUUCAAUUUGUGUUUUCAUGGUGGAUGUGUAAAGAACUGUGUUAUAGUUACUUAGCCAUCUUAUGUACAUGUCAAAAACUUUAUCAAUGAGAAGGUUUUUUUUAUCUAAACUUAACAUUAGUCUAAUCACACAUUCUCAUAUCAAAUAAUGUUCAAUUCUCAAAGAAAGCCAUUAAAAUAAUUUGCUGAUUGUCGAUUGCAAAUACUAUCUGAUCACGAGCUUGAUCAUGUAAUUGAAGCUAUCUAUUCCCUAGUUUUAAUUAUGAAUUGAAUAAUCAAUUAACAAAUAC
rnacentral:lncRNA from 1 species